rnacentral:hammerhead_ribozyme from 1 species
AUCCAGCUGACGAAUCCCAAAAUAGGACGAAACGCGCGUCCUGGAU